GUGCAGCAGUCGAGAAAACUUCACACUGUGCGAAAGCACGAUGAGGGAAUCCCAAGUGCUUGCACGUAAGUGUAAGCUGUUUCUCUGUCUAAAACGCAGAGAGAGUAAGGGCUGGGUAAGACGGGUGCCAGCCGCCGCGGUAAUACCUGCAGCUCAAGUGGUGACCGUUAUUAUUGGGCCUAAAACGUCCGUAGCCGGUUUAAUAAAUGCCUGGGUAAAUUGUGUAGCUUAACUAUACGAAUUCCGGGUAGACUGUUAAACUUGAGACCGGGAGAAGUUAGAGGUACUCCUGGGGUAGAGGUGAAAUUCUGUAAUCCUAGGGGGACCACCAGUGGCGAAGGCGUCUAACUAGAACGGGUCUGACGGUGAGGGACGAAGCCUGGGGCGCAAACGGGAUUAGAUACCCCGUAGU
rnacentral:rRNA from 1 species